GACUUAUUAGUGCAGCAAAUUGUUUGUUCUGCAUAUAUUGAUUCUGCAUGAGUAAUAAGGACUGUUUUAUUAGUCUUUAUUUAGCCAAAGACAAAACUCAAAAGGAGAUCGGACAAUUCGCUCAGCUGCACCUAGUCUGUGGACGCUUCGUAAAAUGUUUUUAUUUACUAAAAUCCAGAGUUGCUCAGCUUAAUUUGCGACAUCUGAUUCUCCUGCAGGAAUAAUGUCAUAAUAAAAUCGAACGCUGUACGUGGGAGCGCGCACUCGGUCUGUCUAAGCAUACAGUACAGCUGCUUAUUUUGGUUUUGAACUGCCAUAACUUGGAAAUACUACUAUACUAAAUACUACAAUGGUCUGCUAAAUAAUACAGACAGACAGCCCUACUAGUCAUUUGUUAUUAUCUUGUAUGCCAAAAUAUAAAAAUGAGAUAACAACGCUGAUUGUUCAGUAAUUACUACUUCUGCUUCCACCGAGAUUCGUACCCGGGACAGAAAAACUUCAACAAUAACUAACCAUUACACCACCAAGACAUUGUAACAUUACUGUAGGUGGGCCCAUAUAACAUGGUCUUAGUACGGCGUCAUAGGGGCCAGUGUGGGGGCUGAUCACCACCUAUAGGCCAAAAAGACGCAACACACGCUCCAAGGCGGUAAAAACAAGGUGAUACCGCGCUGUAAAUGAAAACUGAUUGGGGUAAAGGCUGACACUUUUAAGUGCUACGACUGUAGCUCGGAGAAGGGAAAGUGUAACCUCCAAAAAGGUUAUAAGGCAAGUGGUGCUGAAAACCAACAAGAGUAGUCACUAAGACGGAGUCAAAGAGCAAUAAUCUCACAGAGAAGGCUAGAAAACUGCAAGCGGACAUGAUCCAGGCUCUUUAACAAAGAUUCACCUAUAUCUAACGGACAAGUCAAACAAGUUGAUCAAUGCGUGGAGAUUUCAAAAUUUAUUGUUGGUACAGCUGCAGGGCAGUUAGGUGGAAAGCUUCCAGAAGAAGGUCAAGAAUGGACAGAAGUGGUCUCUGUCUUCGACUCAAGCAUCUGUAAGUCAGGAUCUCUCAUGUCCAUCCUAAAAGGUGCCUCAGAUCGUUCAAGCAGGUAGACAAGAAGCUGCUGCUGAUGCUGCUGCUGCAAGCCAGGCUGUUCUAAAAGUAGAAGAGCAAGAAAGAGAGCAACUGGUAAUAUAGCACAUAGAAGCAGAAGGCCAAAGGAAGAUAGCUGAGCAAGAAGCAGCAGACAUAAAGCGUCGCUUGACACGAGAAGAAGAAGUUUGAAUUAAAUCACAGUUAAAACAAGAACAUUUGCCACUGCAAAAGGCUUUAGAGGAGAAAAAGACAAGAAUACAGCAUUUGGAGGUAGUAAAGAAAUUCAGUGAAGCAAGUGCAAGAAUGCUAGUGUAUGACCAAGUGCAGGAUGUAGAAGAAGAGGAGAAGACAGUAACAAUUAACAAAGUGCCUGUUUCUACAUGUCCUGUCUCCCCACAAAUAUCAUCUAAGCCAGCAGCCAAGACCUCCUUGUGGAGGACACAGUAGAGCUUGUGAAGGUGCUAGGAAGUGCUUUAACACUAGAACACCUAAAGGACGUACACCUUUACAUAUACCACUAUCCCCGGCUGGGAGUUCAGGUGACCGGCACGCUUCAGCUGGCAUCCUGCCAAGAGCCACUUUUGUUACGUAAAGAGGGCCAUUACUGUGGGGUGGGACACGAGGGUUUGCUGGCCCUGCUCCUGCCUGCAAGGCUGAACAGUUCCCAUGAGUCUAUGAGUGAAAUCCACUGUUACAAUGUUCCACCGCUAUGUGCUUGGAUUUACAAUGUGAAAGGAUGAGUGUCAUUGUUGCGGUCGCACCGAAGGAAGCAAUAAAAGACAGAAACAAUACAAUUAGACAGUUUCAGAUCUUUAUCAAAUGUGGCGAAGCUUUGUUUAUUUACAAAAAAACCUGAAUAAAGUUCACAUAUUUUUUGCACUGUAACGUCACCAAAAAUUACAGAAAAGAUGACAGUACACCCAUCUAGUUUUGCAAUAAACUAGACGGGACGUGGAUGGCCCCGCCCACUUCCAUUCAUCAGAAAGAUAUGAAAGGGGGAAUAAUAAAAUAAACGUAAUGUAAAGUAAACCGCAUUGCUGAGUUUUGUGUCUACAUGAAAGCGGGCAGAACGAUAUCCGUGUGUGUGUCACGGCUGAAAGCGGCUGGUGAAUUUCGUAGGAAAUUGCCUGUCGCGCUGCGAUGACUUUUAUGUGGUACAUGUGAAAGGGGGAAUAACGCCCCAAUGCAACUGGCUGUUGUAAGAGGAGGGUGUAGCGGGCAGAGGAACACAGGUCUAUGUCCUAGAUGCGCCCAUCCCCAGCCCCCACAGUCAGCGCUUACGUUUGCGACGGGACGUGGAUGGCCCCUCCCACAGAUAUGAAAGUGGGAAUAACGAAAUAAACAGAAAGUAAAGUAAAACGCUUUGAAGAGUUUUGUCUACAUCACAGCGGGCAAAUCAUAUGAGAACGUUUUAAUUUUGUUUGUAAAUAAAAAUAAUGUUUGCCCUGUUCAAACCCGGGGAAUAAAAACGAUUGUGAUUCAGAAAGCGGCUGAUCAACUUCGUAGGAACACAUUUUAUAUGGUACAGUGAAAGGGAGACUAAUAACCCAACGCAGCCGAGGCACUCACUCACAUGCACACUCGCCUCCCUCAGGUUGCAGCACUUAAAAAACAAGAACACAAUACACAUAAACAAAAUGCUAAAUUAAUUUCACCAAAGUUAUAACAUUACUUAAAUCCUAACUUUAACUAUAACAUUCUUAUAUACUCCUCUUAUAAAAGCAAAACUGUCCAUCACAAUACGACAUUCAGCCUAAUACUGUACAUGCUGCUUGUGGAACUGCUGGACAGGACACACACACAAAAAAGAAGAAAAAAAAAGAUAUGUUGAACAAGUUUCGCUGCGGUGUAACCAAAAAUGCGUUGCCGGUGCGUUGCCGGUGCUGCGCUAGGUGGCGUUAAUGAGUAUUGCUAUUUUUGUUUAUUACUGCGGCUGUGUUUGAUGCAUGUGAAAGACCUUUAUAGAGCAGUAAAGCCAGCUGAGACUUUACUUCUUAAUUUGUUGUAUAGCACAUAUAUUUCAGAUAUUUCAUCCAUCCAUUUCCAAGCCGCUUAUUCCCAUAUGUCCAUACGUCAUGGGGUGCUGGAGCCUAACCCAGCUGGCUAUGGGCAACAGGAGACAUACAACCAUUCACACACUCACAAUGGAGAAGGCCAAUCAAUCUAAUGCUCGUCUUUGUGGGGGAGGAAGCCGGAGAACCCGGAGAGAACCCUGAGAGAACCCAUGCAAGCAAGGGGAGAACAUGCAAACUCACACAGAAAGGCACCAGGGCAUCAAACCCAGAACCUUGGCGGUGAGACGGUGCUACCCACCGCACCACCAUGCCGCCCUUACGUCCAUAUUCCUUCCAAAAACCUACAAAUCCCAGUGUCCUCAAAUUUGGGGACCAUUUUUCAUUUGUGAAUUUAUACAUCCCACAUAGAAGUAGCUCAGCAACACAGUUGUUGUAGAUUUUUAUUGUAAUUAAUGCUGAGUCUGUACAGGGUACAUUUUUUAGUAGAAACCCCAACCUCCAAGAUUAACCCCCUCCAUUAACCUGUACUAAUCCUGCUGCACUAUUAGACAUGUAAAAACUAAUACUUCUCUCAUGUCUCACAACUUCAAAACAUAAUCCUUCAGGAACAUGCCGGGACAGUGAAGGAUUAGUCUUUGCGAGUGUCACUGUUAUCCGUGUACCCACUUGCUACAGUAUGACUCAGAGUUGUUGUUCGCUUUUCUACAGCUGAUGACUGAGGUGGUUUUAUGUGUGUGAUGACUAAUGCUGGGAAUGCCCAGGCCACUAGAAAUGUGAUUGUUUCUCACGUCCCUUGCUGUGGGUUUUAUGAGCAGUUUUUAUAGUAAUAUCAUUUACUGUACAGUACUUCGCAAUUGUUUUGGGUUGUUUUUUUCCAGUCUCAGUAUUGUUUAUGCUUUAUUGGCUGAUCAACACAUCCUAUACAUGAUAGAAGGUGAAAACACAAAAUUCUUAUGAUAAAAGUAUAUUAUGAUUAUCACACAAUAAAAUAUAUGUCUAAGGGCUAAAUUAAAACAACAUCACUGAACAAACAAAUACAAAAACAAACAGAAUCCUUCUCACAGCAGCUACAGAACACUGAGCCUUCAAUUUAAUGGACAGAUCCUUUCAUCCAAAACAAGAGGAAAACACCCAAGUGAUGCAACCAUGCAACUGCACACCAUUCUGUUGUAAUGUCCUCACAGGUUUAACACACGAAUUAACGAAUGGAUGAGUGUCUGACAGGUUUUUAUAAUUGAGUUUAUCAUCAUAGUCAAACCAUUAAAGAAUGUGUAUACUGUAAGCUGUGAAGAAUAGGUUGCUCUUUAGUUUUGAUCAGUGAGUAAAUAACAAAUUAUUUCUGCAAUUAUUUUCUGUAAAUUUGUAUACAUUUGUUCAAACUUCUACUUGGUCCAAAACAAGACAAUUUGCUUGAAUUAGAAAGUUCUGCAUCCAGCUAAUAGUUCUGGCAAAUGUCAAAAAUACCACUAGUGAACAUGUUAACUCUAAUUUAAUGUAAACCUACUUGUUUCAUUUUAUCAUAAUGACAAACUCAAAUGUGCUAAUUACUACUACGGGUGGGCAGAACAGCUGAAACUCUCUGUAGCAAAAGUUCAAGUACAGACAGAACCAAAUAAACUUUGAUUAAGUCUCUCAAAUGACAUCACUGGAGCUAAGCCAUAAAAACCUUCAUCCCCUGCUAGUAACACUGCAAUGCAUUACAUUGUAGGUAAUGUAGUUAGUCACGUUUUAAAGGACAGUGAGUAGCAGUGACUCAACUGACUGAUCAGUUCUGAUUUCUUUAUAUGACACUGGACAAUUAACAGUUUUGAAGCUUCUGCAAAAAAUGUGAUUGUAAGUUCAUCUUUUGUGUUUUUUAAGACAACAUAAAAUGUACAUAAGACAAGGGUUGCAUUAUAAUGUUCUUGUAACUGUUACACACAACUAGCUUAUAAACCACUUCCUUUAUCAUCAUAGGAAGCCAACAGCUAUGAUUGACUAAUGGGAAGUACUGGAAGGUUUUUUACAGCUUUAACAUGGAUGAGAUUAAAACUUGCAUGAAACAAUGUCACUUCAAAGCAACAUUCAUUAACUUAUGCAGGGUAAACCCUAGAGCCUUCAGACCCCAGACAUUAAUUAUAUUGUGUCUUAUGAGAUCCUCUGGUUAAGCCAAGAGCUCUUGGCUUUAAACAUUGUGAAUCACAGAUCUAUUUCCAAACAGUUUGUGAUUCCAUUAUCAGCACAAUAGUUAUUUAUAUUUGUAGCAUUUGUGAGUAGGUUUUUUAGACAUCACCUGCUCUGAACCCUGAAGCAGACAGUGGAUUCAGGUGGUCCCCACUGCUUUGUAUACAGCCCUGUGCAUAAACAGCUGGAAAUUUCAAACCCGGACUGACUCGCUGAGACUCCUUUUCGUUAAACACGAGGAUGCUCGGCUACGGCUGCUGAUUCUUGUGACCAGCUUACUUCCUACACUUGCCCUUCCUGACGGAAGCCCGGACCUGCAGGCUGGACCAUCUGAGGCUGACCAGGAGUUUGCAGAGGUAUGUAUCACAUUUGCUGCAUUUACUUUACUAGUGGUGCUCCAAUUUAUUACUAUUAUUUUUAAUAAACAGUACUACAAUCACCAUUAAUUGCUACUGUAGUAACUUUUUUGUAGAUUCGAUUAGAUCAAUCUAAACUAAUAAAUGCUUGUGUAUUGUUAUGGAUUGUGCUUCAAAUUAGUUUCAACUUCACUGACUGCUGGUUUUAGUCUUCAGGUUCUGGUAACUUUUGUGGACUAUAAUCUUUUGUCACCAUAAUUUUUUUAUCUUCAAGUAUGGAAUCAUGUACCUUGUAAAUGAUGCCCCUGAGCUCCCUAACGAAUUACGUCGCACAACUCUACUUUAAGUCUCACUAGAGCCACAUCUGAAGAUGAAAAACACCAGGAGCUGUGAAGUUUGCACAACCUACAUUAUCUUGUCAUAUUAGACAGUCAAAUCGGUCUAAGGUCUGCAAGGGAGCAGCUGCGGCUUAACAUUAAAUGACAUUCAAUCCUGCACAUGCUUAAACAUCAGCUUGUUGUUGGAAUUUAUCAGCAGAUUAUGGAAAACUAGAUAACAGCUUUGUUGCGCACGUAACAUUUUCUUCUCCGUCUGUCAUCUUUCUUCAGUAAUGCACACGUAGGAUCUUACUUAGUUGUCUCUUCAUUUAACAAGUGCAUGGCACAACAUCUCUCACAUGCAUUCGCGCCACCAACAUCCUUACAGAAAAAAAAAGGGGAAGUGCCGUCACCACAUCACAACAGAUCUCUACAAAAUAAAGUGACAAUAGCCUCAACAAAUAUAGUGCAACAGAAAAUGUCCACACAAAAUGACAAACAAAUACUACAACAACACAUAUGAGAACACAAGUCCAAUAAGCUUCAUUAAUGCCUCGGCGAUCCAUCAGAUAGGAACUGGAAUGUGAUGACUGCGCAGCUGACCCUAACAAUUAUAUGAGUAGAGCAACAUGUCUGUACUGUAUUGGUUUGAGAAAAUGUUUGGAAUGUAGUCAUUUCAGUAGAUGGACAUUUGCAUUAUGCUUUAGCUACUGUAGCAUAACAGUACUGACAUUGUGACCUGCAAAAUUAUUUCAAACCUAACUAAGCAUUUGAUUGACAAAUCUCUGCACACAUCUGCACACUGUCAUAUAUAUUUUUUCUUUAGGCUUAUCUGCGUAACUUCUACAGCUACCAGCCCAAUUCAGGGUGACCCAAAAGGAAUGCAGGCACAGGCCAAGGCACUGACUUGAUCACUGGUCUGUGCUACAUAGUCAAGACAAUGCAGCGCUUCAUCGACUUGCCUCCCAGUGGUGAAUUGACCAAAGAGACUCUGGCGAUUAUGAAGAAGCAGCGUUGUGGUCUGUCAGACUUGGAGCAGUUCGAAGACAUUAUUCACUGGACGAAGAUGACACUCAGCUACAGUUGCAGUCAAACGUGUCGGCUCAGUGCAGACCACGGGGAUGGCUUACUGUUUGAUGGCAAAGGAGGGAUCCUGCCUUAACCCUUCCUGCAGGGGUCUGGCAUUGGUGGGGAUGUACUCUUUGAUGCUGAUGAAGAGUGGAGCUCACAUUCCAAAGCACAGGUUUUAGCCUUCUUGCUGUGGCCGCUGUCCGUGAGUUCGGCCAUGCGCUCGGCCUGCCCCACUCCUCUGACCCUGGAGCUGUCAUGUACCCGGCGUACAACUUUGUUCACAUGGCGUGAACCUAAACUCUGUGUGGAAGUUGAUUCCUUUCCAAAGCAGACAAAUAUAAUAUAAUGAGAAACCCAUGUGACUACAGUAUGUUGUAAAGAUUCAAAAAUUGCACAUUUUAUUGUAAACAUGUUUGCAUAUUAGUGUGGUUAAGUGACAAAUGAUGCAGAAAGAUGAGUUUGUAUAGACAACUGGGGAAGUGAGGACACAAAACUAUAAACCACAACAUCCUCUUUGCUUUGUCAUUGUUACACUGCAACAGUGAAGUCAUCAGUAAUUUCUGCUGCAUGUCUGAGUAACAGUCUUUUUUUUACUUUGCGUCAUCAAUGUAAGCAAAGAUAAUGUCACCUGCUCCUUACAGCAAAUGUGUAAUGGUUAAAAUACAGACCCCUAAGAGCCGAGGGCUUGCUGAUAUAUUGAAUAUAUAGCUCAAUUGAUCUGAAGGAAAUCAAUGUAGUUAUAUUAAGAACUGAAUGCAUAAACAGGCCUCCGAUGGGAAUCAAAACUAGAUCUCCUACUCUCGAGUCAAGGACUUACCAUUGAGCCAUAGUAUAUGAGUGGUGGAUGAGAAAAAGCUGAAGCAGUUGAAAGAUUUUCUACGAAAGCUAAUGAUUUUGACGUAUGCUUUAAUUCUGAACGGAUUUGAGGGAUGUCUGUGCUUAACUGGUAAAGUUAAAACAGUGUCAGAAACUAUCCAAUCAAAAGCAGAAAACAUGUUAAUAAGCAAUUGAAUAGCUUUUAUUGUGAAAAGAUUUUGAGGGAGUGUGGGUUUUUAUUAUACUGUAAAAUCAUCUAAAUAACUAUUUGUAAUUAAUCAGUUGAAACAUUAUUGAAACUACCUGAUGAGUUGAAUGUAUAGCUGAUCAGAUCUGCAAAGAUAAAGCUGCAGAGCUGAAUGUGCACAAAUAAAACAAAAGCAGUUUGAUUUUAAUAAAAAAAUGUUUUGCACAUGACUACAGCCCUGUAAAUCCUUAUUCUGAAUUUUGUUAAAAGACUUGUUCUAGUCAGGUUUUGAACCAGUAUAGCCUGUAUCAGAAUCUUGAUCCUUCACCACUCAGCCACACUAGCUGCUUAACACACUGCUCAGAGGAGCAGGUCAGCUCAAUGACUGUAGUGAAGCUGAUUUCCACUCUAACUUAACAGGCUUGUUACAGCAAAACCACAAGGGUUAUCACAAAAAUAACUUCACUUUAUAAAUCCCAAGGCUUCAGUGAGCAACUGGUGUGAGUUUAAAGUGUGUGGAGUGAAAAUUGAUUUAAUCGAUUUAAAAAUUCUAAUCCUCCUUCAUUUUUCCAGAGAAGUCUUACGGAUAAAUGCAUUAGAGUCUAUGGGAGGAUUUCUGGAACGUUCUGUGCUUUGAGGCAGAUACAGACUAAAGUGUAGGUCUGAGGGCUUAACCACGCACAUUAUUAGAAACACAGAGAAAAGUUCUGUCUUAAAGAUUAGAAAAACAAUACAGUGAAGUAUGCUUUCAAACCUAUGAACAGUUAACCUUAUUAGGAAGAGAUCUCAUGUGUAGUUAAGGUAUUUGAUUAAUUUUCACUCCAGAUGGAGUGCAGGUUACAUCUACAGACAUUCUAAAUAAUCCCUCUUUUGUUGGUGUUAACUUCAGCUCUGCUGUACUCCUAUCAGCGGCUGCUGAGGGGGGGGCUGCAACUGAGGCCCUCAUGCUACAUGACAGCUUGGUUCCCUAUGUGAUACGACCUUCAGUGAUGCAUCUGACCUGUCCUGUACAGCUCAUGUGUCUUCUGGUCCUGAUGAGAGGAACUGACUGACGGCUGACUGACGGUAAGCGUAUCGCGUCACUUCCGGUUACUGAGGUUUGCUGCCGCUGUGUGUGUACAGCGUUACUCUCCGCUCUUUUCUAAAUAUUAUCGUUUUAUAUCCGAUAGCGACUGCUAAAAGUUUCAAAACAAGCUUGUAACACUCAAGCAUCUUUUCCUUUCAUUAAACGUCCUGCUAAUUUACACUGUUAUCUAAGUGUUUUCUCCGCUAGCGUA